UCCUGGUCCGGGGCUGAGUCCUGCAAAUCCUUGUGGUCAAUAAAGCGCAGCUGGAAGCUGGUCCUGGAGAGGGGAGGAUAAGCUGCAACUGCCAUUUGUAGAGGGCUCACAGUGUGCCAGGCACUUUGCCAGGGGCCCUGCCUCACUCUCCAGCUCUCCAAGGUGGGUAGUGUUCUAUCCCUAUUUCACUCAAGAGGCAGCGGAACCCAGGCCCAGUGGCUCGGUCCCAAUCACCCAGCUGGAAGGGACAGUGCCAGAGUUUGGACACACUGCAGCUUGGCUCCCAGGUUCUGCUGGCCUCCGGUGUUCCUGACCAUGCCCUGCCUGCCCUCACCACAUCCCAUCCCUAGGAACUCAAUGGGGUUCACCCUCCACUUUCUCUACACAGACACCCCAGCCCAUCACAGCACAGAGGUGAGAGAGAGGUGCUUCCUUCCCAUCACCCUCCUCGCUGACCACACACACCCCCACCAUCACGCCCAGCCAGACUCCGGGCAGGAGGAAGAAGGCCCGCUGGUGACCUCCGGGAGUUCUGCCAAGAAAAACGCAGACAGGAGGGUGAGCAAGGACACACUCGGCUGGUCAUGGAGCACCCGGCACCCAUCUUGGGGCCAAAAGGAGAGUCCUCCAGACUGCAACACCAAAACAAUGGAAUAAAAAGCUGACUGGGAAGCUGA